rnacentral:rRNA from 1 species
UUAACUGACGCUCAGGCACGAAAGCAUGGGUAGCAAACAGGAUUAGAUACCCUGGUAGUCCAUGCCGUAAACGAUGGUUACUAGGUGUGGGGGGACUGACCCCCUCCGUGCCGCAGUUAACACAAUAAGUAAUCCACCUGGGGAGUACGGCCGCAAGGUUGAAACUCAAAGGAAUUGACGGGGGCCCGCACAAGCAGUGGAGUAUGUGGUUUAAUUCGAAGCAACGCGAAGAACCUUACCGGGGCUUGACAUCCUAGGAACUUGCCAGAGAUGGCUUGUUGCCCUUCGGGGAACCUAGAGACAGGUGGUGCAUGGUUGUCGUCAGCUCGUGUCGUGAGAUGUUGGGUUAAGUCCCGCAACGAGCGCAACCCUUGCUUUUAGUUGCUACGCAAGAGCACUCUAAAAGGACUGCCGUUGACAAAACGGAGGAAGGUGGGGACGACGUCAAAUCAUCAUGCCCCUUAUGUCCCGGGCUACACACGUACUACAAUGGCCGUUAACAGAGGGAAGCAAAGCCGCGAGGCGGAGCAAACCCCUAAAAACGGUCCCAGUUCAGAUUGUAGGCUGCAACUCGCCUAUAUGAAGUUGGGAUGAUAGUAA